GACGGGGGGGGCAAGCGUUGUUCGGAAUUACUGGGCGUAAAGGGCUCGUAGGUGGCCAACUAAGUCGGCCGUGAAAUCCCUCGGCUUAACCGGGGAACUGCAUCCGAUACUGGAUGGCUUGAGUUCGGGAGAGGGAUGCGGAAUUCCAGGUGUAGCGGUGAAAUGCGUAGAUAUCUGGAGGAACACCGGUGGCGAAGGCGGCAUCCUGGAUCGACACUGACGCUGAGGAGCGAAAGCCAGGGGAGCAAACGGG
rnacentral:rRNA from 1 species